GACGAACGCUGGCGGCGUGCUUAACACAUGCAAGUCGAGCGGAGCGGCGAACGGGUGAGUAACGCGUGAGUAACUGCCCCCCUCUCUGGGUUAACAGUUGGGAACGGCUGCUAAUACCGGAAAGUGGGGGAUGACUCGGGUCCUAUCGGCUGGGGGGUGGGGUAGUGGCCUACCAAGGCGACGACGGGUAGCCGGCCUGAGAGGGCGACCGGCCACAUUGGGCUGAGGUACGGCGCAAUCUCCUACGUGAGGCAGCAGUGGAGAAUAUGGCAGAAUGGGGGAAACCCUGAUGCAGAAACGCCGCGUGCGGAAUGACGGCCUUCUGGUUGUAAACCGCUUUCAGCGAUGCCGCGGUAGUGGCAGAAGAAGCACCGGCUAACUACGUGCCAGCCGCCGCGGUAAUAC
rnacentral:rRNA from 1 species